UAUCAACAAGUUGGUCACCAAUUGGAAUUGUUCUCCUCACCCUGGUGGUAGAAAGGUUUAUAAACGUAAAGGUGCUUAAAAUAACAGGGUGAAAAGACCUAGCUGAUGAAAGCCCUUAGUGCUUAACCUCAACAGCAGGAUGGAUAAGAAUGAGUCUGAUCCCAAGCCAGAUCAAAAUCCAAAGCGGGGGAUUAUGCCAAUAGUUUAUUUUUAGAAAUCAAAUGAUUUAAACUAUUUGAAAGUGGCGCAGGAUACCGAAACAUCGUAGAUAUGACGAUUUUUUUAACCACCAUCAAAAAAAGCCUAUAAUUAUUUUUAGAGAAGAAAAACAACAAAACGUACCUCAAAUGUUGAUACAGAUGCUGCCAAACAGAAGUCUGCGAUAGUCAUGUUGUCUCCAGCAACCCAUGCUGUCUUUGCCAAAAAUCCAU